CUGUAGCCCCUGCGUAGGCAUGUGGCUAACGGCCAGAUGUCUGACAGUUCUCCGACUUCUGGGCAUUCCACGUAGGACGCUUUCUCAUGAGUGUCUGAAACCGUCAGUUCACUGCCAGAAAUGGAGAUACAUGGUUCCUGAUAAACUGGCACUUGCCUUUUCAAAGCCACCAUUUCCUCUAUCCUCUGGGCUGUCACAAAUCCUCCUCUGCACCUCAGGAGUGCCCCUUGGAGCCACGUUCACCACUUCUCUGCCCCUGACCCAGGCUGGUUCCCAGGCCUUGGGGUCCUAGCGUGGACCUCCUGGAAGUAAUUAAUGCAGUUUUCCAGAUUAACUCGAAGUACCCCACGACUAAACGCUAAUGAAACUAGAGGAGGCACAGCUUCAGCUCCGUGCAGGAUGGAUGCACAAGAGCAGAAUCUCCAUGGGACGCCUUUCUGGAGCAUCAGUAUUACUGCAGGAUUUGGAAGAAACAAAUUCAAAUAAUUUCCUAAGUAAGACACUGGAAAUUUAAGAGGAAGCUGGAAACUCAUCUGCCUUUAAUACUUUUUUUCUCCAAGAAAAAAAAAAGAAACUCUAAGGAGAACCUAUUUUUCACUCUUCUAAGUAGUUAAAAUUAGAAAUCACAGCAAGUCAAUAGAAAGCUCUGCCUUGCCAGUCUCCUAAAUCACAA
rnacentral:lncRNA from 1 species